rnacentral:lncRNA from 1 species
GAGCUCUAGCUUCAAAAGCUUCAUUUACAAGAGCUCUAGCUUCAAAGACUUCAUUUACAGAGCUCUAGCUUCAAAAGCUUCAUUUACAAGAGCUCUAGCUUCAAAGACUUCAUUUACAGAGCUCUAGCUUCAAAAGCUUCAUUUACAAGAGCUCUAGCUUCAAAGACUUCAUUUACAGAGCUUUAGAUUCAAAAGCUUCAUUUACAAAAGCUCUAGCUUUAAAAGCUUCAUUUACAGAGCUCUAGCUUCAAAGCUUCACUUGCAAAGCUUCACUUACAAAGCUUCAGUGCAGGGUAUACAAAUACCGCCUCCGAACAACCGCCACUUCGGCCCAUACAUGGAUUCAAUUUGAAGUCUCCAGCCAACAGACUCUAUUGACCGAAGACUUGGGGGACUACAUUAUAUACCAUAUAUUGGGCCUCAAUUGGGCCUCAUGAAAAAUAUUUGGGGGACUUAGCCCAUUAUUUAUGUAUUAAGGAGCGAGCCCUUAUUCUAUAAAAGGGACUCCCUCACCAUCAUUAGAGAGCAUCAACUCUAGCCCAUCAUUCAUGUAUUGAGGAGCGAGCCCUUAUUCUAUAAAAGGGACUCCCUCACCUUCAACGCCACAAGUUGAGCCAACCAAGGCAACAUAAGCUACAAGCAAAGCGGCCUCACAACAUGUGCUACUUCUAGUUGAACAUCAUUUCAGAUUGGGCACCGCCUCAUAUCGAGCAUCAGUUCUAGACGACAUUUAGUUACUUCGGCCCACACAUGGACUGAAUUUCAAGUCUCCAGCCAAAAGACUCUCUUGACUGAAGACUUGGGGGACUACUGUUUAUACCAUAUUUAGGGCCUCGU